CUUCGGGUGUGACUGCGUACCUUUUGUAUAAUGGGUCAGCGACUUAUAUUCUGUAGCAAGGUUAACCGUAUAGGGGAGCCGCAGGGAAACCGAGUCUUAACUGGGCGUUAAGUUGCAGGGUAUAGACCCGAAACCCGGUGAUCUAGCCAUGGGCAGGUUGAAGGUUGGGUAACACUAACUGGAGGACCGAACCGACUAAUGUUGAAAAAUUAGCGGAUGACUUGUGGCUGGGGGUGAAAGGCCAAUCAAACCGGGAGAUAGCUGGUUCUCCCCGAAAGCUAUUUAGGUAGCGCCUCGUGAACUCAUCUUCGGGGGUAGAGCACUGUUUCGGCUAGGGGGUCAUCCCGACUUACCAACCCGAUGCAAACUACGAAUACCGAAGAAUGUUAUCACGGGAGACACACGGCGGGUGCUAACGUCCGUCGUGAAGAGGGAAACAACCCAGACCGCCAGCUAAGGUCCCAAAGUCAUGGUUAAGUGGGAAACGAUGUGGGAAGGCACAGACAGCCAGGAUGUUGGCUUAGAAGCAGCCAUCAUUUAAAGAAAGCGUAAUAGCUCACUGGUCGAGUCGGCCUGCGCGGAAGAUGUAACGGGGCUAAACCAUGCACCGAAGCUGCGGCAGCGACACUAUGUGUUGUUGGGUAGGGGAGCGUUCUGUAAGCCUGCGAAGGUG
rnacentral:rRNA from 1 species